rnacentral:rRNA from 1 species
CCUACGGGUGGCAGCAGUGAGGAAUAUUGGUCAAUGGACGCAAGCCUGAACCAGCCACGCCGCGUGCAGGAAGACGGCUCUAUGAGUUGUAAACUGCUUUUGUACGAGGGUAAACGCAGAUACGCGUAUCUGUUUGAAAGUAUCGUACGAAUAAGGAUCGGCUAACUCCGUGCCAGCAGCCGCGGUAAUACGGAGGAUUCAAGCGUUAUCCGGAUUUAUUGGGGUUAAAGGGUGCGUAGGCGGUCGGAUAAGUUAGAGGUGAAAUCCCGGGGCUCAACUUCGGAAUUGCCUCUGAUACUGUUCGGCUAGAGAGUAGUUGCGGUAGGCGGAAUGUAUGGUGUAGCGGUGAAAUGCUUAGAGAUCAUACAGAACACCGAUGGCGAAGGCAGCUUACCAAGCUACUUCUGACGGUGAGGCACGAAAGCGUGGGGAGCAAACAGGAUUAGAUACCCGGGUAGUC